rnacentral:lncRNA from 1 species
CGCGGCCCCUCCGGGCGCCUGUGAUUGGUGCGCGCACGCGAGGGGAGCACGAGGCGCUCCCCCGCCGGGCGGGGGCUGAGCCUGAGGGGAGCGCUGAGGGAAGCCUCGAAACUCCUGGUUGUGACAUGUCCUGUGGUGCAACACCGGCUUCAGAUGUAGCUGCAACCCACAGAACAAUACACCAUGACGAUUUGGCCAGGUGGAUGUCUGCCUGAGCUUCUCUUCAAACUUCGGCAUGCUCCUGGCAAAUCCACCACCUUGGAAGAGCAAAGGACCUCCAGCAGCAGCAUAUGGGACCUCUCUGUCAUGAAUUCCAGUAGGACAUCAGGAAUCUCAGCUAU